rnacentral:misc_RNA from 1 species
GAGGACUAAGGUUAGAGAACAGAAUGAGGAGGCGUAAACUUCAGUCUGAAAUGACUGGUAAAGUUAGCCGCGCUGAUCAGUGCUCAGUUGCUGCUAAGAAGAAUCAAUUGAAUGGUGAUAGGAACAGCUGGCGCAACAAGCGUAGGGUGACUGGGAAGCAGAAGGCCUAGUAAUUAUUGCAGUUUGUCAAUAUCUCCUAAAUAUGCUUUGCUCAUGGCUAAUCAUAUGCAAAAUGCAUAUCUUAAUGUUUAAGUCUUCUGUAGUUUUGCCUUUGCCUGUUUCUCAUUUACAUUGGUAUUCAAUUUGAAGGAACAACCUGUUCCCU